GCCCAGAUGGCGGAACAGGUAGACGCGCUGGUCUCAAAAACCAGUGGGAGUUUUCCCAUACCGGUUCGAUUCCGGUUCUGGGUA
rnacentral:tRNA from 1 species